UUUUAGACUGAAAUUAUUUUAAUAGAAUAGAUAACGUAUCAUAUUUAAGGAAAUAUGUAUUAUCACAUUUAGUGUAACAAUGUUUACAGUAAGGUCAUUGAAGGUUUAGGUAUUAUCACAUUUAGUGUAACAAUGUUUACAGUAAGGUCAUUGAAGGUUUAGGUAUUAUUAUAUCUAGUGUAACAAUGUUUACAGUAAGGUCAUUGAAGGUUUAGGUAUUAUCACAUUUAGCCUUACAAUGUUUACAGUAAGGUCAUUGAAGGUUUAGGUAUUAUUAUAUCUAGUGUAACAAUGUUUACAGUAAGGUCAUUGAAGGGUUAGGUAUUAUUAUAUCUAGUGAAACAAUGUUAACAUAUGGUCAAGUCCCAGAAAGGUACUUAUUAUUAUCUGUAAUGGUGAAACAGACAAUGUUACAGCAAGGCUGGGAAUGCAGUAAGAAACAAAGGUAUAAAAUCUUGAAAACGGUUUGGAAUUAUUAAAACAAGUAGAAACAUAACAUUUAUGAUGCAUCUGGAUUAUUCCUCUAACUUAAAUAUACAAAUGUCGACAAAACAGUACAACGAAUAUUUAUACACUGAACAAAUAGUCCGAGUCAUCGUUAUAAUGACACUUUUCCUCUACUGUAUAGCAAUAGCUACAACUUUGGACUCUUCAAAAAAUAAUAAAACGCAUAACUUUUUUUGUUUGUUUUAGUGCUGUGCUUUCAGACAAUACAUUAUCAGAAACAAACCCUUGUAAUAUUAGUUUUUGUAUGACAUAGUGAAAACUGGAGGAGAGAAGUUCCAGAAUAAAACAGGUUGUGACCGGCUUAUAUUGAAAAUGUAAGCCUUAACGUUGGUAAUAAAUCGCUUACUAUGGAGUUUUAUGGCAUAUUUCAACUUAUUACAGUUUUAAGACUCUGUGGUUGCCAUGCAACAGCAUUAGUAAAGGAGAAGUUGGUGCGUUUACAAAUGAAAAUGUGAAACUAAUGUUUGUAUUAAAUAUAAUAACAUGAGACGUAAUGUGUUCAUUUUGUGUUUCGAAACGUUUGUUAGAUUUAGACAGACUCUCAGGGUUAAUUCCUAACCGCUGUACGUGAUAGGAUUACGAAGGUAUGUGAGUUGGGCUUUCUUAGUCUCUAAACAUUAUGCGAAGAGGUUUGAACUAUGCAGAAAGACUUAUUAUGUUAAGCCCUAAUCACUAUACAAAGAGAUUUGAGUUAGACAAGAAUAUAUAUGGACUUAAUAUGUUUCCUAAUCACUAUACAAAAAGAUUUGAGUUAGACAAGAAUAUAUAUGGACUUAAUAUGUUUCCUAAUCACUAUACA